GUAGGUGAACCUGCGGAAGGAUCAUUAAAAAUGAAGCCGGGAAACCGGUCCUUCUAACCCUUGAUUAUCAUAAUUUGUUGCUUUGGUGGGCCGCGUAAGCACUGGCUCCGGCUGGUUAGUGCCCACCAGAGAACCACAACUCUGUAAUAAAUGUCGUCUGAGUACUAUAUUUUAAUAGUUAAAACUUUCAACAACGGAUCUCUUGGUUCUG
rnacentral:misc_RNA from 1 species